CAGCAGCCGCGGGAAUACAGAGGGUGCGAGCGUUAAUCGGAUUUACUGGGCGUAAAGCGUGCGUAGGCGGCUUUUUAAGUCGGAUGUGAAAUCCCUGAGCUUAACUUAGGAAUUGCAUUCGAUACUGGGAAGCUAGAGUAUGGGAGAGGAUGGUAGAAUUCCAGGUGUAGCGGUGAAAUGCGUAGAGAUCUGGAGGAAUACCGAUGGCGAAGGCAGCCAUCUGGCCUAAUACUGACGAUGAGGUACGAAAGCAUGGGGAGCAAACAGGAUUAGAUACCCCCGUAGUCCCUGUCUCUUAUAA
rnacentral:rRNA from 1 species